AUUGAACGCUGGCGGCAUGCCUUGCACAUGCAAGUCGAACGGCAGCACGGGAGCAAUCCUGGUGGCGAGUGGCGAACGGGUGAGUAAUAUAUCGGAACGUGCCCAGUCGUGGGGGAUAACGUAGCGAAAGCUACGCUAAUACCGCAUACGAUCUAUGGAUGAAAGCGGGGGAUCGCAAGACCUCGCGCGAUUGGAGCGGCCGAUAUCAGAUUAGGUAGUUGGUGGGGUAAAGGCUCACCAAGCCGACGAUCUGUAGCUGGUCUGAGAGGACGACCAGCCACACUGGGACUGAGACACGGCCCAGACUCCUACGGGAGGCAGCAGUGGGGAAUUUUGGACAAUGGGCGCAAGCCUGAUCCAGCAAUGCCGCGUGCAGGAUGAAGGCCUUCGGGUUGUAAACUGCUUUUGUACGGAGCGAAAAGGCUUCCACUAAUACUGGGGGCUCAUGACGGUACCGUAAGAAUAAGCACCGGCUAACUACGUGCCAGCCGCCGCGGUAAUAC
rnacentral:rRNA from 1 species